rnacentral:tRNA from 3 species
GCGCCCUUAGCUCAGCUGGAUAGAGCGUCUGGCUACGAACCAGAAGGUCGGGAGUUCGAAUCUCUCAGGGCGCGCCA